UGUUCAGUGAACAGGAGAUGCUCUUGUGUGAUUGGAUGUGUGCUACUCCAGGAAUUUUAGGCCAAAGAACAUUUCUUGGCCCUUGGAAGUUCAUGCCAGUCUGAAGGUACUAAAAAGCUCGUGAUAGCCUGAUAAAGGAAGAAGAUGCACGCACCUCACCAAGAGUUCCGGCUUACAGAUGGCUCGUAAUCUCCCCCAGAGUGCGAUCAAGAGCUCCUGUCCUGCCCUAGGACCUCAACCCUGACAGUCGAUCUCUGAUGUAACUCAGCUUCAUGAUAAGGAGCAUCUGACAGCCAGAUGACAAGAUUGUCCAGUUUUGUCCAAGUAUGUAUGAGAUUGAUCAUUAACCAGGCAACAAAUUCAAUCUGCCCCAGCGACAUGGUUGUCCAAGUCGUGUGGUCAAGCCCGAUCAUCCCUGAAGUGUGUUUGAAGAUGGAACCUGAGGCACUUGGGAUUCACAGAACUGAAAUCGUAAACCGGAACCCUAGCUGCAAGGGCAUCUGGGAUGUGAGGUUACUUUAGGAAGUUGUUGACGCAAAAGCUUGCUGGCGGACAGCACCCUCGCAUCUGGGGCAGCGUUUACAGAGCGCGGAACACUCGUGUACCUGUUAGCCCUCACCCCACGCCAGUGGCUGGCUACUGUCCUCCUCUCGCAGCGUGGAACCUGAGCUCCAGAGGGGUUAAGAGACGUGUUCAACAUCACACCACCUGACGAGAAAACGGCUCAGCCGAGGGUGUGACACGGGUGUUCUCGUCCCAGUUUGCAGACGCGGAAGCCGAGGCACAGAGAGCACCCACGCGUCCUGCCCGCGGACUCGGCAUUCGUGGGACGUCAGUAUCCAUCCGGGGAACCAGGCGGUCUGGCUUCAGAGCCCCGGCUCUUUGUGUGUGUCCUAGACCGCCUUUCCCACUGCUCGGGGCAGGGGUGGUGUCUUCUUGAAGGCAAAUUCCGAUCUCGUCGGUCGAGGGGAUGGCCCACGGUUCUGCAUUUUUUUAAACAAGCUCUCAGAUGACGCGAUGCUGACGGCCCACAGGCAGCUGCUGGGAGUGAUGACGCUCUGUGCUCCAGCUACGUGUUAUUGUUAUCUGACUGCCAGAAUUCAUUGAUUCAUCUCUGGUUGCCAAAAUCCCUUGUCCCCUCCCCCACACACUACUGGCACGCCCACUCCUAAGGGCACCCUUCUCUCCAAAUCUGUAGCUAUUCUAUGGUUGCAUUCAUUAGGACGAUGGCCCCUCACCAAAAAUGAAUAUAAUAAUCAUUUGGGGAGCUCUUUCAACAUGAACACCCACUCCUGUCAAUUGCAGACAGUCUGAUCCAGGAUAUUAGGGGUGGGGCGAGGGGUAAGAACAGAGAGAUUCCCUGCUGUUUCUGGUAUAAACCAACCUAUCCUUUCUCUUACCCUUUCAAGUCACCAGGUACCCAAGUCACCUACAUAACAACACCCAGGAAGUGGCUAGGAAAAUCAGAAUUCUCCUGGGUGGUGAAUACGCUUCCUGAAAGCUUCCUCUUCCCGAUAGCAUUAAGAUAGGUCCACUUCUCUGCCAAUCCCCCAGUGCUAGGCAUGGAUUGAUGCUCCCACUUCCUCCUCCCCUGUGCCUCAACUCUCUAACCGCAGACUUCAUUCUCCUGCCCCACAUCAGCUUAGCCAAUAGGCAUAACACUGAGCCCUUCUGGAAAGGAUCAAAAUCACUUCUGACCUGACAAGCCUAAGACUGAAGGAGCAUGGAUGGUUUUUCUCUCUCCCUUUAAGCCCUGAGCCCAGUAAUCUAGCUGUUCUGAGUCUGGGCCUCAGAAACAAGAACUCUUCAAGACGAGUCCUUUCUCUUUAAGGAUUUUCAAAGACCAGCUCCUUACAUGAUUAUGUUUUCCCCUGACUUUUUUUUCUACAGUUCCAAAGAAAGCCUCACAUUGAGGAAAACUAGAAAGGCAUGAUUCAGUGAUGUCAAAUGCUCUCAGGAUUCCUCCUUCCAAAGUCUUUGUUAAUUGUGCCCUGUAUCUAUAGUGAUAAAUUUAAAGACACACGAAGCAGCAGGAUCCCAAAGACACUAGAUGAUUGUGCUGUUCCAUUAAGUUGAAACAAUGGAGCAGAGUCUCGAGUCUAUCUCCAGGGCAACAGAAAAUGCCAGUCACCGUCAGGUGGGCUUUCUGAUGAAUCUUUUAAAAUGGACUUUCACGUACUUUUGUUAUUUUUAA